CAAUAGCGUAUAUUAAAGUUGUUGCAGUUAAAAAGCUCGUAGUUGGAUUUCUGGUUGAAGCGACCGGUCGGGCGUUGAUUCGUCUGCACUGGAGUCGGUUUUGGCCAUCCUCUAGGAAAGUGCGUCUGGUAUUAAGUUAUCGGGCGUAUGAUCCUGGUCUUUUACUGUGAAAAAAUUAGAGUGUUUAAAGCAGGCCUUCGCCUUGAAUACAUUAGCAUGGAAUAAUAAGAUAGGACUUUGGUCUAUUUUGUUGGCUUGCAGACCGAAGUAAUGAUUAAUAGGGAUAGUUGGGGGUAUUUAUAUUCCGAUGUCAGAGGUGAAAUUCUUAGAUUUUCGGAAGAUAAACUUAUGCGAAAGCAUUUACCAAGGAUGUUUUCAUUAA
rnacentral:rRNA from 1 species